GACGAACGCUGGCGGCGUGCCUAACACAUGCAAGUCGAACGGAAAGGCGCUUCUUGCAGGGUACUCGAGUGGCGAACGGGAGAGUAACACGUGGGUGAUCUGCCCUGCACUUCGGGAUAAGCCUGGGGAACUGGGUCUAAUACUGGCUAGGAGCCACUGAUAGUAUGAUGGCUGGAAAGCUUUCUCGGUGUAGGAUGAGGUUGCGGGCUAAUAGCUUGUUUGUGUGGUAAUGGCAUCCCAAGGCGGCGACGGGUAGCGGGCCUGAGAGGGUGGACGGCCACACUGGGACUGAGAGGAGGCCCAGAGUGCGAAGGUAGGAAGAAGGGGGGAAUAUUGCACAAUGGGCGCCAGCCUGAUGCAGCAAGGCCGCGUGGUGGAAGACGGCCUUCGGGUUGAAAACUACUUUCGCUAGGAACGAAGCAUUUUGUGACGGUACCUAGAUAAAAAGCCACGGCUAACUACGUG
rnacentral:rRNA from 1 species